UGAGCUUAAUGGGAGGCAGGUGUGUCGGCUGAGCAGAGUGAUCUCAGUGACACGCUUCACUUGGAGGUCAUAACAUGUUGGAGGUUCAUGCUGUGCAGGUGUUCCAACCAACCAGGAGGAGUCACUCGUACUGCAACAAGGACAUUAUCUCUUCCCACACGUGAACACGUCCAAUUUGUGUUCACUGAUUUGCGCAAUCAAGCCGGAGGUAGCUCUAGCUGGAACUGAACCCCAGGUGUGUGCGGAGGUGGAGAGUGUCGAGGCAGUGAGCUGCAGCCAACACAUUCCUGCCUGAAAUAGAGUGAGUGCUGGAUUUCAUCGACCUGACCCGCUCAGCUGUAUUACACAGAUCGUAUCCUCGGUGAUGACAUAGUAGUACAUUUAUUCUCGGAGUGGACUGCAUGCUCUGAACGAGGCACUCCACGGCAGCGUGCGUGUGGGCGGGGCCACACUGGGUUUUUAUGUCAACUGGCGGCAUUGGCGCCACCUCUGCUGAAACACAUGGUCAGGAGUGAAGGAGUGCAGCCUGGAUCACUGGGACAGAAGUACUUUACGAGUCCUAAAAAUAAAGUCCUCUGGAAACACCACUCCACCACACUAACCCUGAUCUCCCGCCCUGUUUCCACUCCACCUCCUCCUCCUCCUGGUUCGUUCCUGAAGUUCCUAGAAUCUUCCACAGUUCCAGUUUCAGGGAAUGUCGGGAACGUCAAGACGCUGCCAGCUCCAAAAACUGUGGUUGGCCUCAGAUGACGUCUUGUUCUUUCUGUCUCUCCACAUGUAGUUCACAUGUGAGAUGUGCCGGACACUGUCUGUACAUCCAUCUCUCUGUCUGAUUGGUUCACUGCAUAUCUGUCCAGCUGCCUUACUGGCUGAAAAUAGACCUGUUUCUGCAGUGUGUGCACUCGAUAGCAUCAAGGUUAACAUCCAAUCAAAUAUACAUCUAUUACAGUUCAUCAAAUUGUUGAAAACUAAAUCUUUCAAAUUAUUUUCAUGGUGUAAAUUAGUAGAAAAAUAAGAUUAUCCAGGCAAAAAUGAGUGCAGUGCUUUGUGUUGCUUUCUGUUUUACACACAGUGGCUUUAGAGCUGCAGAGAACAGAAUUAUCUCCCAACUCUGCAGUUCUCUUCAGCUCUUCCGAGCGUUUUUAUGUCUUUUAGCUUCUUUUGGUUUUACUGUAUGUUUCAGUUGUUUCCAGCUGUGGCAGGCAGCUGUUUUCAGCAAACAAGCUCUGAUAAACAUUUAACAGCCAGAUAAUUGUCUCAGGAAUUUGUGGAGAUCAAACCAGAGCUAAAAGGAGAGUCAAUAUUACUAAGAUGCCAAGUGGCUCAUGCCAGCCUGAAAGCUAAUGUGCAUGUUAACCAUGAUGAUGGAACUCUAUCUUUGACUAGCCACUUGCCUUAGUUAUGACUUUACAUCCAACUAGUUGCCUAAGUAAUGGUGGUAGCUGAUUUAGUUACAGACUAACUAGCAGUUACUAAGCCUCUAGUGUCGACUUUACACCCUAACUUAGAAGAGAACUUACAAAUAGCUGGUGCAACCCAGUGCAGAAAUCUAUGUUUUUAUGGAUAUAGCGUUAGCCAUUAUCACUGAUAUUGGUCAGGGAAAUUUCAGCACAAUGCCUUACGUUCUAGGAAGGAGCAGUUAUCCAGAUAGCUAGCUACUGUCUUGCCAUUCAGAUUCACAUACUGUACUUCAAUCUGUAUCUGGGUCUAGCAACUAUUGUAGCUAGAGAUGGAAAGAGUACUAGAAUAUUAUACUCAAAUAAAAGUACUGUUACUUUAAAGAAAUUCUACUUAAGUAAAAGUACUUGUGUAAAAAUGUACUUAGUAUAGAUGAUAUACAUAUUGAUAUAAAUGUACUUACAUAAAAGUAAAAAGUAUGUCAGUUAAAAUGUACGAGUACGUUUGUGUUAAUUGAUGGAAAGUUGUUAGCUAGCUAACUUGUUGAAGUUAUUCUUCUUCUGGUGUUUUUGGCAGUUACCAAACAGCUUCAGGUGCAUUAACACCACCCUCUGAACUGGAGUAGAGCUGAACCGGAUUUGCAUGCAGCUGGGAAAACCAAGACAGAUGCAAUCAGAUUUGUGAUCUGGCCAACAGAGAAACAUAUAUGGGGCUAUGUGUAAAUUAAAGUGUAUUAAAUCACAUCUAGAUUUUAUGCAGAUAUGAGACAAUUGAUGACAAUGUGUAGAUGCAGCCACAAUG